UUAAGCGACUAAGCGUACACGGUGGAUGCCCUGGCAGUCAGAGGCGAUGAAGGACGUGCUAAUCUGCGAUAAGCGUCGGUGAGGUGAUAUGAACCGUUAUAACCGGCGAUUUCCGAAUGGGGAAACCCAGUGUGUUUCGACACACUAUCAUUAACUGAAUCCAUAGGUUAAUGAGGCGAACCGGGGGAACUGAAACAUCUAAGUACCCCGAGGAAAAGAAAUCAACCGAGAUUCCCCCAGUAGCGGCGAGCGAACGGGGAGGAGCCCAGAGCCUGAAUCAGUGUGUGUGUUAGUGGAAGCGUCUGGAAAGGCGUGCGAUACAGGGUGACAGCCCCGUACACAAAAAUGCACAUAUUGUGAGCUCGAUGAGUAGGGCGGGACACGUGGUAUCCUGUCUGAAUAUGGGGGGACCAUCCUCCAAGGCUAAAUACUCCUGACUGACCGAUAGUGAACCAGUACCGUGAGGGAAAGGCGAAAAGAACCCCGGCGAGGGGAGUGAAAAAGAACCUGAAACCGUGUACGUACAAGCAGUGGGAGCCUCUUAAUGGGGUGACUGCGUACCUUUUGUAUAAUGGGUCAGCGACUUAUAUUCUGUAGCAAGGUUAACCGAAUAGGGGAGCCGAAGGGAAACCGAGUCUUAACUGGGCGUUAAGUUGCAGGGUAUAGACCCGAAACCCGGUGAUCUAGCCAUGGGCAGGUUGAAGGUUGGGUAACACUAACUGGAGGACCGAACCGACUAAUGUUGAAAAAUUAGCGGAUGACUUGUGGCUGGGGGUGAAAGGCCAAUCAAACCGGGAGAUAGCUGGUUCUCCCCGAAAGCUAUUUAGGUAGCGCCUCGUGAAUUCAUCUCCGGGGGUAGAGCACUGUUUCGGCAAGGGGGUCAUCCCGACUUACCAACCCGAUGCAAACUGCGAAUACCGGAGAAUGUUAUCACGGGAGACACACGGCGGGUGCUAACGUCCGUCGUGAAGAGGGAAACAACCCAGACCGCCAGCUAAGGUCCCAAAGUCAUGGUUAAGUGGGAAACGAUGUGGGAAGGCCCAGACAGCCAGGAUGUUGGCUUAGAAGCAGCCAUCAUUUAAAGAAAGCGUAAUAGCUCACUGGUCGAGUCGGCCUGCGCGGAAGAUGUAACGGGGCUAAACCAUGCACCGAAGCUGCGGCAGCGACACUAUGUGUUGUUGGGUAGGGGAGCGUUCUGUAAGCCUGUGAAGGUGGCCUGUGAGGGUUGCUGGAGGUAUCAGAAGUGCGAAUGCUGACAUAAGUAACGAUAAAGCGGGUGAAAAGCCCGCUCGCCGGAAGACCAAGGGUUCCUGUCCAACGUUAAUCGGGGCAGGGUGAGUCGACCCCUAAGGCGAGGCCGAAAGGCGUAGUCGAUGGGAAACAGGUUAAUAUUCCUGUACUUGGUGUUACUGCGAAGGGGGGACGGAGAAGGCUAUGUUGGCCGGGCGACGGUUGUCCCGGUUUAAGCGUGUAGGCUGGUUUUCCAGGCAAAUCCGGAAAACCAAGGCUGAGGCGUGAUGACGAGGCACUACGGUGCUGAAGCGACAAAUGCCCUGCUUCCAGGAAAAGCCUCUAAGCAUCAGGUAACAUCAAAUCGUACCCCAAACCGACACAGGUGGUCAGGUAGAGAAUACCAAGGCGCUUGAGAGAACUCGGGUGAAGGAACUAGGCAAAAUGGUGCCGUAACUUCGGGAGAAGGCACGCUGAUAUGUAGGUGAAGCGACUUGCUCGUGGAGCUGAAAUCAGUCGAAGAUACCAGCUGGCUGCAACUGUUUAUUAAAAACACAGCACUGUGCAAACACGAAAGUGGACGUAUACGGUGUGACGCCUGCCCGGUGCCGGAAGGUUAAUUGAUGGGGUUAGCGGCAACGCGAAGCUCUUGAUCGAAGCCCCGGUAAACGGCGGCCGUAACUAUAACGGUCCUAAGGUAGCGAAAUUCCUUGUCGGGUAAGUUCCGACCUGCACGAAUGGCGUAAUGAUGGCCAGGCUGUCUCCACCCGAGACUCAGUGAAAUUGAACUCGCUGUGAAGAUGCAGUGUACCCGCGGCAAGACGGAAAGACCCCGUGAACCUUUACUAUAGCUUGACACUGAACAUUGAGCCUUGAUGUGUAGGAUAGGUGGGAGGCUUUGAAGUGUGGACGCCAGUCUGCAUGGAGCCGACCUUGAAAUACCACCCUUUAAUGUUUGAUGUUCUAACGUGGGCCCGUAAUCCGGGUUGCGGACAGUGUCUGGUGGGUAGUUUGACUGGGGCGGUCUCCUCCUAAAGAGUAACGGAGGAGCACGAAGGUUGGCUAAUCCUGGUCGGACAUCAGGAGGUUAGUGCAAUGGCAUAAGCCAGCUUGACUGCGAGCGUGACGGCGCGAGCAGGUGCGAAAGCAGGUCAUAGUGAUCCGGUGGUUCUGAAUGGAAGGGCCAUCGCUCAACGGAUAAAAGGUACUCCGGGGAUAACAGGCUGAUACCGCCCAAGAGUUCAUAUCGACGGCGGUGUUUGGCACCUCGAUGUCGGCUCAUCACAUCCUGGGGCUGAAGUAGGUCCCAAGGGUAUGGCUGUUCGCCAUUUAAAGUGGUACGCGAGCUGGGUUUAGAACGUCGUGAGACAGUUCGGUCCCUAUCUGCCGUGGGCGCUGGAGAACUGAGGGGGGCUGCUCCUAGUACGAGAGGACCGGAGUGGACGCAUCACUGGUGUUCGGGUUGUCAUGCCAAUGGCACUGCCCGGUAGCUAAAUGCGGAAGAGAUAAGUGCUGAAAGCAUCUAAGCACGAAACUUGCCCCGAGAUGAGUUCUCCCUGACUCCUUGAGAGUCCUGAAGGAACGUUGAAGACGACGACGUUGAUAGGCCGGGUGUGUAAGCGCAGCGAUGCGUUGAGCUAACCGGUACUAAUGAACCGUGAGGCUUAACCUU
rnacentral:rRNA from 1 species